rnacentral:rRNA from 1 species
AGUGAACGCUGGCGGUAGGCCUAACACAUGCAAGUCGAACGGCAGCACAGUAAGAGCUUGCUCUUACGGGUGGCGAGUGGCGGACGGGGGAGGAAUACAUCGGAAUCUACUUUUUCGUGGGGGAUAACGUAGGGAAACUUACGCUAAUACCGCAUACGACCUACGGGUGAAAGCAGGGGAUCUUCGGACCUUGCGCGAUUGAAUGAGCCGAUGUCGGAUUAGCUAGUUGGCGGGGUAAAGGCCCACCAAGGCGACGAUCCGUAGCUUGUCUGAGAGGAUGAUCAGCCACACUGGAACUGAGACACGGUCCAGACUCCUACGGGAGGCAGCAGUGGGGAAUAUUGGACAAUGGGCGCAAGCCUGAUCCAGCCAUACCGCGUGGGUGAAGAAGGCCUUCGGGUUGUAAAGCCCUUUUGUUGGGAAAGAAAAGCAGCAGGUUAAUACCCCGCUGUUCUGACGGUACCCAAAGAAUAAGCACCGGCUAACUUCGUG